UAUUGUCUAGUAUGUGGAAGGGUGCCAAUUUUCCUGUUGGUAUAUUGUCUCUUCCAAUUUGAUGGUCAGGGCUAGCUGCAGAAGAUUUGGUGGCUAGGUGACCUUGGAGUUCUUCAAACUGGAAUACCAAUAGGAAAACGUGAUAUAUAUGUUGCUGCAGCUGGUAUUAAUUCACAGAGUCAUUGGGAGUUCAAGCGGAAUACCAAGCAAUGCAGCAAAUUAUAUUAUCUUUCAUCAUCUAAAACUUAGCUAGAAAACUUGAAAUGUAUGAAUGCGUUAACAAUGUUCCUUAAAUUCAAUGUUUGAUGAAUUGAUGUAUCACAAUACUUUU
rnacentral:lncRNA from 1 species